rnacentral:lncRNA from 1 species
CAACACUAGUUCCUUUGGCAGCAUCAUUUACAAACAAAUUUAAUAAAUGAAACGCACAAGUACAGUAUCUCUAAAAUUUCAGGGCCAUAAGAAGGGGGAAGUGAUCUGACCAAAAAGAAAGAGCCAUUGUCAUUUUAAGGGAAAUAGCAAUCCUUAAGCCCACCUGCUGCUUUCUGUGACGAGGUAAACCGUGUGUGCGUUUUGGUCUAACUGCAAUUUUAUGACGUGCUGCCUUAUGACUCAAAGGCACAGACUGACUAACAUCAGCAUCAUCUGAAAAUAGAAACUCAAACUACUUAAAGCUUGAAAAGCAAUUACUUAUGAAGCAGCUCAGCAUUACAGAGAAAUUGAACUUACAUACUCCUUCAAUGUUUGGGAUUCCACAUGUUGAACAGAAAGAAAUCCAUGAAUAUUACGCAACUCUUGUGGAUCCAAUGAUGUAGUAACAUGAUCAGGAGAAAAGAUACUAUCAUGAGACACACUUAAACCAACAGUAUAUGAAGAA